rnacentral:rRNA from 1 species
GACGAACGCUGGCGGCGUGCUUAACACAUGCAAGUCGAGCGGUAAGGCCCUUUCGGGGUACGACGAGCGGCGAACGGGUGAGUAACACGUGGGUGACCUGCCCUCAGCUCUGGGAUAAGCCUGGGAAACCGGGUCUAAUACUGGAUAUGACUCCAUGACGCAUGUUGUGGGGUGGAAAGCCUUGUGCGGCUGAGGAUGGGCCCGCGGCCUAUCAGCUUGUUGGUGGGGUGAGGCCUACCAAGGCGACGACGGGUAGCCGGCCUGAGAGGGCGACCGGCCACACUGGGACUGAGACACGGCCCAGACUCCUACGGGAGGCAGCAGUGGGGAAUCUUGCGCAAUGGGCGAAAGCCUGACGCAGCGACGCCGCGUGAGGGAGU